rnacentral:rRNA from 1 species
UACGGAGGGUGCAAGCGUUAUUCGGAAUCACUGGGCGUAAAGGGUGCGUAGGCGGUUUGAUAAGUCUGAUGUGAAAUCCUAUGGCUCAACCAUAGAACUGCAUUGGAAACUGUCAGACUAGAAUACUGAAGGGGCAGAUGGAAUUAGUGGUGUAGGGGUAAAAUCCGUAGAUAUCACUAGGAAUACCGAAAGCGAAAGCGAUCUGCUGGGAAGUUAUUGACGCUGAGGCACGAAAGCGUGGGGAGCAAACGGGAUUAGAUACCCUAGUAGUCC